CAUACUUGAUCCAUUUGUUACUCACAAAUCUCUUAUACGCUUUGAUAACCCAUUGUCCCUGUGGAAUACGAUCCUGGACUAAUCCUUGAUACAACUUAACACUUCUACACUUGGAAGCACAUUUCACCACGAGUCAACUGGCUGAAAAAUGGAGACAAAAACACUGCUAUUUCCACAUGCAAGCUACUCAUAGAAGGAAGAUUAACACUAUUAAGUCCAUAACUGGCCCACAUGGAAACAUAGUCACUGAGCAAAAGGAGAUUGGCUCAACAUUCACAAGUUUUUUCUCAUCCUUAUUGAACUCUUCACUGCCUACUAACAUUGAAACCUGCUUGUCUGGGCUUCAACCAACAAUUACAGCUGAGAUGAAGUUAUGUUUGAGCAAACCCUUUACAAAGGAUGAAGUAAGAAUGACCUUAUUCCAAAUGAAUCCACUAGGGUCCCCAGGCCCUGAUGGAUUUCCUGCACAAUUCUAUCAGAAAAAUUGGGAUGUGGUAGGGAAAUAUGUAUGCUAUUUUGCUCUCCAAGUUCUGAACCACAAUGGAUCUCUAAAUGAAGUGAAUGAUACCUACAUUACCCUCAUACCAAAGGUCACAAAUCCAAGGAAGGUAGCUGAAUAUAUGCCUAUAAGCCUGUGCAAUGUGCUUUACAAAGUAGUUUCGAAAACACUUGCGAACAGGAUGAAACUGAUCCUCCCUCAGCUGGUUUCUAUGAAUCAAAGUGCCUUUGUUCCUGGAAGGCUCAUUUCAGACAACACACUUGUAGCCUAUGAGGUUCUCCACUAGAAUAUGACAGGGUGGAAUGGGUCUUUGUGAAAGCCAUUAUGACCAAACUAGGCUUCCCUCCUCAAUGGAUCCAACUGGUUCAAAAGUGCCUUAAUUUUGUCUCCUACUCAAUAUUGAUUAAUGGAGAGCCUCAACAGAACUUUAAGCCUACUAGAGGAAUUCGCCAAGGAGACCCAAUAUCCCCAUACAUAUUUAUCCUCUGUGCUGAAGCCCUAUCAGCUCUACUACACAAAGCUGAAGAGAGGGGGGACAUCUCUAAUGUACCAAUUGGUAGAGGAUCCACAAGAGUAAGUCAUCUAUUCUUUGCAGAUGACAGUUUACUGUUCUGCCAAGCAUCCCCUUUGGAACUCUCAAAUAUCAUGGCCAUUUUGGAUAUCUAUGAGCAGGCCUCAGGACAAGUUCUUAAUAGAGACAAAUCAUCAAUCUUUUUCAGCAAGAGUACUAAGAAAGAGAUGCAGGCCCAUGUUUUACAACAUAUUGGAAUCAAAUCCACUGGGACCUUUGAGAAAUACCUCGGUCUACCAGCUAUCUUGGGAAGAACUAAAGUUAGAGCAUUCCACUGCCUUAUAGACAGAACUUAGUCACGUAUUGUAAACUGGAAAACUAACCAGCUUUCCUCAGCAGGCAAAGAAACUCUACUCAAAGUAGUACUCCAAACCAUCCCACUUUACUCGAUGGGAAUGUUUCUACUCCCAGAGUCCAUAACCAAAAAGCUAAACCAACUUUUAAGAAAGUUUUGGUGGGGCUUUAACGAGGACUCAUCUAAGAUUUAGUGGAUCCCUUGGGACCAACUUAGUUUAGCAAAAGAGAAGGGAAGCCUCGGUUUUAAGGACCUCAAAGCUUUCAACCUAGCAAUGCUUGCCAAGCAAAACUAGAGAAUGAUACAAGACCCUUCCUUACUUGUUUCCAGAGUAUUAAAACAGAAGUAUUUCAAUGCAGGGAAACUUUUGGAUGCCAAACUAGGAGCCGGUCCCUUUUUUGCUUGGAGAAGCAUCUUAGCUGGAUUGCAAACCCUCAAAUUAGGCCUUAUGUGGAGAAUGGGGAAUGGGCGUAGCAUCAACAUCUAGACUGCAAACUGGAUUCCAUCCCUUCCUCACUUCCAAGUGAUUUCUCCCAGAGAACUUGACUGCUGGUGUGAAAAAGUGUGUGAUUUGGUUGAACCAGGACAGAGGAGAUGGAAUGAAGAACUCCUAAUGGAGAUGUUUUCAGAAGAGGAAAUCAAGGCCAUAACAUCCAUACCAAUCAGUGCCAGAGGCAGGGAAAAUAGACUUACUUGGCACCUUACUAACAAUGGCCUAUAUUCUGUAAAAGUGGAUACCACUACCAAAAGCAAAUAGAGGCAGAAGAAUUGGGGAAGAAUUCAAACAAACAGAUGGAAAUAGGGGUGUGGAAAAGGCUAUGGAAAGUGAAAGUGGCUCCUGCAAUCAAGCAUUUCAUAUGGAGAGCAUGCAAAGAAGCACUACCCACCCAAGACAAUCUGAAAAUAAGGAAAAUAAUUGAAAAUAGUAAAUGCCUUAUUUGCAAACUUGAACCCAAAACCUCUGGUCAUGCACUAUGGGGCUGUACCGCAGCUAGGGAUGUGUGGAACCAGGGAUGUAUCAAGACCCAAAAGAUGUCUUUCCAAAAUGAUCUAUUUUUCUAUGCGGUCAAAGCUGAAUCAAAAGCUGGAUACAUAUGAACUCGAGGAAUGUGCUAUCACGAUGAGGGGCAUAUGGUCUAGGAGAAAUGAUCUCAUUCAUGGGAAGGGUUUUAAGCAUCCAAAUAACAUUAUACAAGGAGCCAAAACGACUGACUACAAAGAAGCAAAUAGGCCCCAACGUGACCACCAACAGCAUGAUCACCAGAAAGUUCUGUCAUGGAAGAAACUAGCUAGAGGAACAUACAAGGUCAACGGGGAUGCAACCCUAAAUAUAGAAACAGGUAUAAUGGGGUUGGGAGUUCUUGUUAGAGACCACCAAGACUACGUUAUUGGAGCACUAAGAGAAAGGAGACCUUUAGCAAAGAAAGCUUUAGAAGCAGAAUCUUAUGGUUUAGUAGUGGCAGCCACCUUUUGCAAAGAAUUAAGCCUCAACCAAAUCCACCUAGAAGGGGACUCAAAGCAAGUUAUCAACUUAUUGCAGGGAAUGGAAAGCAACUAGAGUCUAGGGGGCUCUUAGUUGAAGAUGCAAAGAUCAUCUUCUCAAGCGGUGGCAAUUGGAAGGCAUCAAAUAUCUAUCGAGAAGGCAACCAAGCAACUCACAAGCUAGCAGAAUCUACCUUACAAUUAGAUGAAGAUGUAUAUGACAUUGAAGAGUGCCCUCUGUGCAUUCAAUCAAUUGUAAUCUCUGAGCUGUUUUCAGCAUAAUCAAUGAAGUUAGUAUCCCAUUUCAGAAAAAAAAAAAAAAAAAAAAAAAGGUCUCAUUCUCUGCCACUCAUACUUUCCCCUAUAGAAUAGAAAUUUUAAUGACCAAGCAAUAGCUAAAAGUCCAAAAAUAAGCAAACAUCAAAUGAAUUUUAGAGCAAGGACUAAAGGAAAAUAGGGUGCACUUUUUAGUACUAAACUAAAAAAACUGAUAACUACUUAAGUAAGCUAAAACCAAACCCUUGUCUCGAGGCCCAUCCCAAACUGCAUUGUCUUGUGUCUAGCAAGUGCCUAUUCUGGAGGUUGUCCACAUAAACACUAUUUGGCUUCUUCAACCUGUAAGGUGGAUACAAAACAUCGACACAAUGAGUGUUAGUAAGUAAAUAAGAGGUGUAGAUAUUUCUAAUCAAAGAAUUUAAUAGAGUCCAUUAUAAUCAUUACUUACAUGGCAUGUAAUCCGACCUCAGCUUCUGGUUUGCAGUGUUACCAAUGUUUACUAUGAUCGUGCAAUUUUUAGACAACUCCAAACACCCACAAAACUAUUUGUUGGUCGUGUAACCCCAUUGAUGACAACACACAACCACAUACUAUAUAGUAUAACUACUUAAUGCAUUGCUUUAAACAUCCUGAACAUCCUGUUUCAUCCCCCAAAAACACCCUACCAGCCUAUAAUUCAAAAACCACCACAAAAUAUUUAGUUCCUUAACACACACCCUUUUUAGUCUGCCCGAGUCUCUUUAAGAGACUCCAUGUGACUGCAUUCCUGACAUUAUACUACACCUGAAUUUUGUGAAUACUCUGUCCCAUUUGUUUGGAGGCGAUCAACGAUUACCUUCACUGUAGGUUCCACCAAAUUGGAGACUACUAAAGAAGCGUCUUGACAUUUUAACCAUCAUAAAGUGGCAAAACAAGUCUAAGAAGGGAAGAGAACAAAACUGGGAAGCUGAAGGUUAGUAAUGACUUUAAAAUUCUAUUUGGCUAUUCAUUGAACUGAUCGUACACAAGACAGUUAACCGAUGUAGAUCUUACCUAUUCAUCCAAAAGAUACAAGCAACUAUCUCUCACCAUCACCCCCCCUCCCCUUCUAAAAGCCCAAGAAACCAUGACAAUGAGUAGGUCCUAUGUAUGUAUGUAUAUGUAUAUAUAUGUACAGGACCUACUCAUAGAUUCAUUAUACCUAAUGGAAACCCUGCAUCUGUCAUUACUGAAAAAUGGGAAACCAUGUCUCAUUCAUUUAGGCAACUUUUAUUUUAGGAUGAUAUUUUUCUUUUCCCUCUAGAACCCUCUACUCACUACAAAACAUCCACACCAAAGUGCAUGAAUAAUAAAAAACUAAAGGAAAUAUACUGAGAAGAAAUUGGGAACAAUGAGGGGAAAUUCGAUCUCACCGUUCUUAUUGGCACAAUUCUUAGCCAAUAAGCACUGUGAGAUCAAAUAAAGUAGUACCAGCAAUUUCUAACAAAACAUGCACAUGAAUAAAGUAGAAAACAUAAAAGGCAUUUCCUUCCCUUUAAAUGCAUCAGUCUGGAACUUCAAAGACAGUUUGGAACUUCAUUUACCUAGCAUUUUUUCACAAAUUUUGAAUGGGUGACAGUUUGGAACUUCAAAGACAGUCCAAGGAGACAAACACAAACAAUGCAUCAGUGAAGGGGCCACGAAUAAACCAAAUGAAGGGGAGCAGGGGAUGGGUCUGCCUGAGGACUGAUGAAGAAUUUGCAAUGGAAAUGUUGGCUAGAGUAAACCCCAUCAUCAUUUGUCGUCUCCAAGUAAACAUAAGCUUUCAUUAAUCUAUGUGAAUUCUCUCCAUCAACCAAGUUGGAUGGUAAAAUAUAUGGUGAUCAAACUAGUACAAUAACCAAGAAGCACAUAGAAAAGUACUUAAAUGGGCUCACCAUAGAUGAGGAUUUAAUGGCCAUGUGGAGUGGAGCAACAAUACAAUAAUAUGAGAGGUAUUUGGGAUUACCCCCACUGGUGGAAAGAGAUAAAAAGGGUGCUUCUGCUGAGAUUAAGUGUCGAGUACGGGAAAAGCUCCAAUGUUGGAAAGAAAAACUAUUAUCACAAGGAGGACCAGGUAAUAGGGAGCUGAUCAUGAAGGGACCUAAAGUGGGGCACUUGUUUACACUACUUUUUCCUGUUCACGCACUUUCUUUAGUUUUUUCUAUUAAGUCUUUUGCUUGUAAUAAUGUUUCAAAUCUUAGUAUGGUGCGGCAUUAUCGUUUAGGCCAUCCCAAUACUCAAAUCUUUUCUCAUGUAUUGAACUUUGGUUUACUUGGUAAUAAAGAACAUUCUUCUUUAUCUCUUGAGUGUGCUUCUUGUAAACUUGGUAAAAGUAAAACUCUUCCCUUCCCUU